GCCAAAGCUCCACUCACACCUGUGUUCUCAUACUUCACACAGAUCUGAGUUUAAAAGAGAUUAAGCUACUUUGGCUCCAAAUUCAGCAAAGGGGUAAAAGGUUUCCAGAGGAAAGAGAAAUGUUGAAUUCUGGGUCAAUAAGAAGAAGAGGCAUUUGGCUUUUACAAGUUGGAAGAGGGGUCAUUAUAUUGCUAAUAAAUAAUGGGAAAAAAAAUAAAAGGAAAAAAAAAUCAGCUGAAGAAUUUUGCCGUGAAAUUCCUCUAGCAGGGAAGACAAGUCAUCCUUGGCAGAAUGAGGUUCUUCACAGGCUCACAAAGCAAUUUCCAACCACUGGAGGAAAAAUAUCUUUAAGUGACCUCCAAUGGAAAAAAUGACCAGGAGAAGGUAACUCAACAUCCCCUUUUGGAAAGUCCAGGCCACAUCUCAUCAAUGGCAAGGCUUGGAGGUGCAGGAGACAGUGAUGCUCCUUCCACAGAAGAGCCACAGGUCAUUUCUGUUCUGGGGUGCUGCACAACUUAGGGCCAACUGUAUGGACACAAACCUGAGAGACAUAUUUUCAUGUGUUACUAGGAGAAGAGUAUGUAUGUUAAAAAUUUAGAACCCUAAAAAAGUCUAAGUUUGGAACAUGAUAAAUUACCUUACUGUCUCUGCUUUUACUAUUUUCAUACUUCUAAGCCUUUGAGGAACAUAUCAAAUGUACAAAGCUGUCAGAAAUCAGUUUGGUAGGUUUACCAACUCAGAACAACCAACAUUUCUCCAUAUUAAACAAAAUCAAAGAAAAUUUUUCAACAGAUCUUGUCAUUUUCUGUUCAUGAAUGCUCUUGCAAAAGAGCCUGUCUUGGCUUUGUCACUCAAAACUACCUGGUCCUUCUCCAAACCAAAUUAUUCUCUCUCCAUGGAUUGCUUAGUUACAAAGUGCAAGUAAAUUACACAAUUCUCUCCGGAAGGUAUUUGAAUAGAAUAUAUCAUUUAGCAUGUGCAUAUUUGAAGUUCUUUGUGUGACAGCAAAGUGCAGAGACCAUGCAAUCAGGAAAAGAAAGAACAGAACUGCCAGGUCUCAGGUAUCCACCAUACAUUUUUAAAACCAAGUACACACGCUGACUUAUUCACAAAUCACUCUGUAUCAGGAAAGAGUUAUUGUUUCAGGCUCAAGUUUCCCAGGGUGCUGUAGGCACUUAAGAGAACCCGAUUUUCUGAGGGAAAGUCAGUUCUCUUCCACAACUUGGGACCUGAGAAUCUGGACAUCAAAACCAGAGUACUGAAUAUGAAAACUCAGGCCUUGAUGCUUAGAGAAAGGGAACACAAAUACAUCGUGAGCUUUUCAAAACUGAAAUGUAAGCACACUCCGGCAAAGGUAAAAAUCAACUAAUUUAAAUCCUUACCACGUGUUUCAUCAAGCUGUUUCCCAUGGCUACAUGUAUCAGUGACAGAACAACCCUUGGUGUUCAAGAGCCUAGAGAAAGGUAGUAUCUUCUUUUAGUUGAUUUAAGGAAUAAAAGAAGAAAAACUUUGUGAGC
rnacentral:lncRNA from 13 species